rnacentral:rRNA from 1 species
UACGAAGGGGGCUAGCGUUGCUCGGAAUCACUGGGCGUAAAGGGUGCGUAGGCGGGUUAUUAAGUCAGAGGUGAAAUCCUGGAGCUCAACUCCAGAACUGCCUUUGAUACUGAUAGUCUUGAGUAUGGGAGAGGUGAGUGGAACUGCGAGUGUAGAGGUGAAAUUCGUAGAUAUUCGCAAGAACACCAGUGGCGAAGGCGGCUCACUGGCCCAUUACUGACGCUGAGGCACGAAAGCGUGGGGAGCAAAAGGG